AUGUGAUUGAAUGAAUGAUAUGCAAAAGACUUAGAAUUGUUCACUUCUGAAAAGCGACUCUAUACUUUUGUGUGAGAGUUCACUCAUUUGCAUCCUUCAGAAAUACAAAUUGUGAACCGGGCUUUAAGCCCCGGUCAAACAAAGAUGAUGGUUAAUGAGAGUUUCAACUCUCACCGACUCUCGUCAACUUUAAGCUGGUUCAAAUCUUGCUAAGAGUUGAUGAGAGUUCAUGCUACGCGCGCGCGGUCACGUCCAGUCAACUCUCACGCAACUCUCGUU
rnacentral:lncRNA from 1 species